GCCCUUGUAGCUCAGUGGUAGAGCGCAGCACUUGUACUUCUACACAAGUCCAUGCUGAGGUCCAUCGUUCAAUCCGGUGCGGGGGCA
rnacentral:tRNA from 1 species